rfam:Plasmodium ovale curtisi genome assembly, contig: contig636
UUUAUAUGAUGAUAAAAGAAAACGGCGAUUCCUUAAUGUUGCUUUUUAUUCUUAAAAAGUAACAUUUUAAAGUCAUAUGAGCGUCACAAGCGAGUAGUUUUCAAUCUGAUAAAA